AUGGCAUUUAAUGAGCCCAAGAACUGGUGCUCCUGGUUGUUCUUGGCAGAGUGGCGGUUCAAUACCACUUAUCACAUUGCAACAAAAUUUACUCCAUUUCAGUGCAUGUAUGGAUUUCCUCCACCUAUGAUUGGUGAAGUCUCAGUACCCAGACCAAUAGAUGCUGAUGCCCAAACUUUUCUCCAGAAAAAAGAAACUAUGAUGGCUCAACUCAAACACAACCUUCUAGUAGCACAAGAAAGGAUGAAAAAGUAUGCAGAUAGAAACAUAACAUAUAGACAAUACAAUGUGGGAGAUAUUCUUUAUUUAAAGAUGCAGCCUUACAGACUUGCAGCAUUUGGUAUCAAGACAGGCUUGAAACUUACAACAAAGUUCUAUGGCCCUUUUUUUCAAUGCAAGGACUUUAAAAUUAGAUAA
rnacentral:rRNA from 1 species